CAUUUACGGCAGGAAAAAAAGUGUGCGCAUGCGCCAUUAUUUGUUAUCAAAUUUUCUGCCGCAAGCGAUUCAUAAUGGCCACCAUCGCACGUGCUUUAAAUUUCCCUUAAAAACAAAUGUUUUUCGAGCCUCUGCGGUAGAGAUCAUCUCUUAAAAAGAUUUUAUUUUAGUAGAGCAGGCCUUGGACUAUACAAAAACUCUGGAUUCCACUACCCGAUCACUUUCACUUUUGUUGGGAGGAGACAGAAAGAAUAGCAAUGUUUUGAUCAUAAAAUUUUAUAUGUUGGUGGAAAAUGAAGAUAUUUGCCUUCCAACGCAAAGUCAUGCUUUAAGACAUGUGUUUCCUGAAAGCUGAUAGCCUAUUUUAUCAAAUAAAACCAGUGGUUUGUGGCUGCCACUUUUUUUCUGAAAGAAAUUGGUCCUUGGAAAUGACCUUUUACAAGACUUCAUAAAUCGGGCACCAGUCCCAAAUUGUUCUAUGAUACAAAACAUGUUGGCACGAUUUCAUUGAAGUAAUUUUGACCCAACAAUUCACAAUUUCAAGCGUCAUUCAAACGUGAUUUGCAUGUGAAGAUUUGUUGACAGAAGCGGUUAAAAAAAAAGAUGGAACAAUGAUGAAACAGAGGAGCUUGCCGAUUUGUUCGAUUACCACUUUUUGUUGGAUGCGUUUGAAAUAAGAAUAUAUUCGUUAAAUACAGAUUAUGAAUUGAAAUAAAAAAUACUUGUAAUAGCCUAAUUUGUAAACUAUUUUUAUAUAAUUCAGAUUGACUUUCGUGGUGAAAAAUCUCACGAUUAAGGAAUGGUCUAGGCUUAAAUGUCUAAAAAUGUGUGUGCUUUCGUUUAACACAUAUAUAACUGUACAAUUUUUUUCAUUUGCAAUCAGUUGCUAGUCUAACAACAACAACAAUAAUGAUAAACAUUUAAAAUGUUUCUAGCCCAGAAAAUCACAAAAACCUAUUGUUAGUGGAUUAUUUCCAUUGGGGUCCACUGAGUCUGAGUGAAGCUAGCUUUCUCACAUUUACGUUUAGUUUUAGCAGGCUUCUAGAAAACUAAUCAAGACCAACCUUAGAGCUAGCUAAGGUUACAGAUCAGAUGAAUUAUUUUUUUUCCUUAUAAAUUUAAUUUUAGAAGUAUAAUAAUUUACAUUUCUAAUAGUUGUCAACCAUUUUUUUGUGAAAACGAAAGUGAAAUGUAUGGUGUAGAAAAGCUCAAAA